UACGUAGGGUGCGAGCGUUGUCCGGAAUUAUUGGGCGUAAAGAGCUUGUAGGCGGUUUGUCGCGUCUGCUGUGAAAUCUCAAGGCUCAACCUUGAGCUUGCAGUGGGUACGGGCAGACUAGAGUGUGGUAGGGGAGACUGGAAUUCCUGGUGUAGCGGUGAAAUGCGCAGGUAUCAGGAGGAACACCGAUGGCGAAGGCAGGUCUCUGGGCCACUACUGACGCUGAGAAGCGAAAGCAUGGGGAGCGAACAGG
rnacentral:rRNA from 1 species